rnacentral:rRNA from 1 species
AUGCAAGUGCAAAUCGUCAUCGUCCACAUCUACGUGGCGACCACCAUCACGUUCGUGAUCAACAUCGUCAUGAAGGGCAAGUCACCUCCAAGCAACAUGUGCACGACGACGAUGAACACCUACGAGCUCAAGCACAACAACGACAUCAUCAUCAUGAAGAUGCUCCACAAGCGCAAGUGCACAAGUCCCAACAAGCCCUACUUUACGCCAAGUCGAAGCUUCAUAAGCACAAGAGAAGACCGCGAGACGAGCACCACCAAGACGGUGCUACGGCUACACCAACCACUUUGGCAUCUUCGCCAAGUGCUAUCGAGGCAUCUUUGCCUUUGGACGUACGGCAUCUUCGCCUACUUCCCAUGUACGCCUACAACGACUUCAUCAAGUCCAAGGCGACCACCUACGAGCAAGGGCGACACUUCCAUCUUCGGAAGCCCCUCAAGGACGAUGGCCGAGCAUGGGAAACUCCCUUCGGUCAUGGAGACAAGCUAUGAGGUGCCACAUCAUAUGGACCUCCAACACCAAGACGGUGACAAGACGGUCGAGCAAGGGCCAUCCCCUUCGACUACGGCGACAAGCGCGAACCUCUUCAAUAACAUGAAGAUGGUGCCCAUAUUGGACUCAUCCUUCGAGUCAAGCUACGAGACCGCGCAUGGAGACAUUUGCACCUACAUCUCUCAGACACCCACAUAUGUCGAGAUGCCACAUUUGCCAUGUGAGGAGAGCCACCACCACAUGAGUGACAUGAGUGACUCCACCAUAUGUGACAUUGAGAGCAUUUCCUAUGAGAGGAUGAGUGUGACCACCACUAGCCCACAUGAGAGCAUGCCACACAUCCUAUGUGAGGUUGAGAACCAUUUGAGUGACUCCACCAACAAUAUGAGUGAGUGCAUCCUUGAGGGAGUGAGUGAGCCACAACACUUAGUGAGUGAGGUAGUUGACACGGCAUGUGAGGCCACCAUGAUUUCUAAUGACUUAACCUCUACUCCUAGUGUUUUUUCUUCUUUGGUGCUAGGUCCCAUAUAUGAUGACGCGCCGAUUCGCGAUGACUACGUCCUCCCUUUGGACACGAUGAUGGCCAUGGUGGAACAUGAUGAACCCCCCACAUGGUUCCAUCAAGAUGAAGAUGACAACGAGACGAUCUUCAACACCUCACCUACAACACAUGAGCGACGCUCCAAAGGUAACAUAGGUGAUGGUGCUUCUCUUGUCCCACUAGUGGACCCUCUUGAUAAUGAUUGCUCCCAUGAUGUUGACCCACCUAUUGCCAUGCUUCAUGCUAGUGAAACUUCUUCAUGUCAUGACUUACCUAUUUAUGAUGAAUACGAUGAUGACCAUGUUGAGUUACCUAGUUGUGAUGCUAUGCUCCAUAGGAUAUCAUGUGAAAAUUCUAUUGGUCACAUCAUGUUUGACAAUCCAUUGAACUUGUUAAAUGCUAUGAGUGAGAUCAACCAUAUUGCAUCAUUUCAAUCACAACAUAGUAGCUAUGCAUGCCCCAUUAAAAUAAAUCCCAUUUGCACUUAUGGCAUAGAUGACGAGAUGAUGGUCAUUGGCUUAUGUUUUUCAUGUGAUGAUAUUGCCAUGCUUCCUUUACAUGAUUUUCGCAAUUCAUCUACUAUGCCAUGCCAUGAUCACAUUGUUCCGAAUAUGCAUUGUUUUGGAUGUUGUCAAUAUUCUCCAUGUGAUGUUACCACUAUUGCUCAUGAGGAGACUCCCAUAGUUUCCUCAUACAUAUUAGGAGAUCUUGAUACAUUUCAUACUUUGCAUGAUUUCCAUGAUUGCUUGCACCAUAUGCAUUCCAUGAAUAACAAUGCUCUAGAUAUUUCCCAUGAUUCAUUACACAAUUUGAGUCUCCAUUAUGCUAUACAUAAUAACAAACCUCUCAUGAUGGAUGACAUGUUUCUAUAUCACGCAUCUCAUUUAUUUGAGCAUUGGCUAUUUUGUGCUCACCGACACAUGCAUGUGCGCAUCAUGAUGGAUGAUGUGUACAUCUACCACGCACACACAAUUUUUCCUUUGUCUUUGUUGUGUGUAGGUACUCAUGUAUACUCGUCAACCUCUCAAUCCCAAGAGUUGACGAAACGAGCUCUUGAGAGCAAUGAUGACUUGGGAUCCCGUGGACUAUCCUUACCAACGUCCCCUUCGCGCAAGGACUAUGCGCAACUCCUCUACUUGGCUCUCACACGGCUAUGGGCCAUUUACCACUCCUCACAUUAUGCUCAUUUUACCGUGUUCACUUUGCAUGCUACACUUGCUUCUAUGCCUUUGCCAUGCAAUUGUGACCCUUGCUUGCAUCUACCCAUGUUUCAUCAUUAUGCUACUUCUAUGUGUACUUUCAUGCUUGGUGGAGAUCCUUGUUGCUAUUGCCAUGUUUAUCAUGUGCCCCAUGCUAUUGUCCUCAUACCUUGCUUUCAUGCUUGUGAUAUGUCAUGUGCAUUAUUCAUGCCCACUAUUUGCACACAUGACAUGCUUACCAUGAUUCCUCCUAGUAUGUUGCAUCUUCGCACUACUAGCUUGCUUGACUUGAUUGCUAUGAUUGCUUGCUAUGUUGCAUCACCCAUGUUCCACUAUUACUUGCUUUCUUGGGAUGAUGACAUAUAUGCAUACACUUGUUCUCGCAUCAUAUGCCUACAUACUAUGACAUGCUCCCUUGUCCUUUCUUAUGAUGAGCAUGAUGCAUACACUUGUUGGGUAUCUCGCCCCUCGAAUGAUAGGUCUUGCUUUUGCACUAACCUCAUUUGUUUUCCAAGUGUUUCUCAUGUUCUUUCAUUUUGA